GACGAACGCUGGCGGCGUGCUUAACACAUGCAAGUCGAGCGGUAAGGCCCUUUCGGGGGUACACGAGCGGCGAACGGGUGAGUAACACGUGGGUGACCUGCCCUCAGCUCUGGGAUAAGCCUGGGAAACGUGGGUCUAAUACCGGAUAUGACUCCAUGACGCAUGUUGUGGGGUGGAAAGCCUUGUGCGGCUGAGGAUGGGCCCGCGGCCUAUCAGCUUGUUGGUGGGGUGANGGCCUACCAAGGCGACGACGGGUAGCCGGCCUGAGAGGGCGACCGGCCACACUGGGACUGAGACACGGCCCAGACUCCUACGGGAGGCAGCAGUGGGGAAUCUUGCGCAAUGGGCGAAAGCCUGACGCAGCGACGCCGCGUGAGGGAUGACGGCCUCGGUUGUAAC
rnacentral:rRNA from 1 species